GUGCUUGCUUUGGCAGCACAUACACUAAAAUCAGAAUAAUACAGAGAAGAUUAGCAUGGCCUCUGCAUAAGGAUGACAUGCAAAUUCAUGAAGCAUUCCAUUUUUAA